UCGUAGGUGANACCUGCGGAAGGAUCAAUCACAAUUGAAUCUUCAACCCCAGUAUUUCAGGAUGAGUGGAGCAAUCUACUCACGGGCUGACGAGUGUUGCUGCUAAAGGGCAGUAGCGCUCCACGCCAUCUGAUACCCGCGCUAGCGCGCCCUUCGGGGUUGUCGCUUGCGCAUCUCUUUUUUUUUAACACCAUUUACCGAUCAUCUAGUCAAAAAGUUUUUUACAACUAUUUGCGUUGGAUGUCUCGGCUCGGACAACGAUGAAGGACGCCGCUAAAUGCGAUAAGCGCUGUGAAUGGCAGAAUUCCGCGAAUCAAGAGAAUGCUGAACGCAUACUGCGCUUUUAGCCUUGGCUAGAAGCAUGUCUGUUAGAGGGCGUGUACACUUUCUUGUCUUCGAAGAUGUUGCAUUGCGCAGCUAUUCGUUGUACGUUCUUGUGCGUCGCCGACGUAUUUCCGUCGACGCAUGAAAUUUAAUGGUUUGAUGCGCAGUUUACCUCGCGUGGUGAUUUUUUAAAUUAUUCGCGAGUCGUAACUGAGCGUCGCUAAGCCAUCUCGAAGCCACUGCUGUUUUCAGCACCUCGCAUCUAAUCAGACAAGAGUACCCGCUGAAUUUAAGCAUAUCAAUA
rnacentral:rRNA from 1 species